rnacentral:rRNA from 1 species
UACGUAGGGAGCAAGCGUUGUUCGGAUUUACUGGGCGUAAAGGGCGCGUAGGCGGCGCGACAAGUCACUUGUGAAAUCUCCGGGCUUAACUCGGAACGGUCAAGUGAAACUGUCAUGCUAGAGUGCAGAAGGGGCAAUCGGAAUUCUUGGUGUAGCGGUGAAAUGCGUAGAUAUCAAGAGGAACACCUGAGGUGAAGACGGGUUGCUGGGCUGACACUGACGCUGAGGCGCGAAAGCCAGGGGAGCGAACGGG